UAGUACAUGUGCUGACAAGCUCAUCCACAUCAAAAUCAAGUGAAGUUCAUGCCAUUCGACUCUAUAACAAAAAAAUGUUAGGGCAAAAGCCCUUCCCAUUGCACAGGAAACGGUCAUUUUCUGUUACACAACCCAGGAGUAAGCAAAAAUAGAUGACAGGAUGUUGUUCUCAUACGACUAUGCUGAUGCCCAGUGACAGCUUUUUUCCAUGCAGCAAAGGGAGGCGCUAAUAAACCGGGAUGCAAAUGACUUAAUUGCCAUUUUGUGCUGGUUAAUUAGUAAGGACGGUCCAGGAAAACCGCAAAAUAGGUCACAAAGGAGGAUGACGUUAUGGGAGACCUCCAAUACUGAAAUGACAGCCCCCCCCCUUUGUGUGGGCGGAGGGAGCCAUGGCGAGGCCGGCAGGGUCCAGUGGAAGAGGGAAGUCAUCUUCUGUGCAGCAGCCAUGUUGCCUAGCAAUAAAAAUAUUUACUCUUUAACUGGAGAUUUUGGAAAUGUAUAAAAAAACAAUGAAACUUUUCCGUCUAAAUGAAUCGUGGAGACCUCUGCCAGCCACAGUCAGGGAAGAUCCUGCUUGUCUGGAUUCUUGUGAUAGGCUGGGACAGUGAAAUCCUGUUACCAUGGUGACGAGAAGAAACUAUCCGGACAGAGUCUGACAGGACCCUGAUCGCCAUGGUGAUUCACGCUGUAUGGGUGGCCUUUGGGUAUGAUGUUUGCCCUCAAGAUAAAACUGCUGCUUUUUUUUUUUUGUCAAGGGGAGCAGGUUUCACUUUUUGAAAGUAGCGGCUGUCUGCUGGACUUGCUUCAAAACCCGCAGAUGCUCAAUCCGACCGGAGAAGAUUGCUGGUGACAUGUUCCAGCCUGGAACCACGCUGACGCUGCUGCGAGUGUAGGGAAGGAAGAGCCACACCUACGAGUCUGACACUCACUCUAGGAGGGAAUGGACACAUGAAAACAGCUGUGAGAGGGGAGGUUAAAUGAAGGAAAUCUAAAUGUGUAAGUUAGUAUAUACAGUAAAGAAAAGUGUCUAACUUGAAUUGAAGUGUUUUAAUGUCCGAGGUUCUGGGUGUUCAGGAUGCCCAUAGCGUCACUUUUGGAUUUGCACAGAUUUUCCUAACUGCUAACAUCCACUGCACAAAUUGCUAUGAGAUUCUGGAAAAUAUCCUUCCUACAAUUAAAUGCAUUUAUUGUGUUUA